rnacentral:rRNA from 1 species
AUGUUUGAUGUUCUAACGUUGGCCCCUUAUCGGGGUUGCGGACAGUGUCUGGUGGGUAGUUUGACUGGGGCGGUCUCCUCCCAAAGAGUAACGGAGGAGCACGAAGGUUAGCUAAUCCUGGUCGGACAUCAGGAGGUUAGUGCAAUGGCAUAAGCUAGCUUGACUGCGAGCGUGACGGCGCGAGCAGGUGCGAAAGCAGGUCAUAGUGAUCCGGUGGUUCUGAAUGGAAGGGCCAUCGCUCAACGGAUAAAAGGUACUCCGGGGAUAACAGGCUGAUACCGCCCAAGAGUUCAUAUCGACGGCGGUGUUUGGCACCUCGAUGUCGGCUCAUCACAUCCUGGGGCUGAAGUAGGUCCCAAGGGUAUGGCUGUUCGCCAUUUAAAGUGGUACGCGAGCUGGGUUUAGAACGUCGUGAGACAGUUCGGUCCCUAUCUGCCGUGGGCGCUGGAGAAUUGAGGGGGGCUGCUCCUAGUACGAGAGGACCGGAGUGGACGCAUCACUGGUGUUCGGGUUGUCAUGCCAAUGGCAUUGCCCGGUAGCUAAAUGCGGAAGAGAUAAGUGCUGAAAGCAUCUAAGCACGAAACUUGCCCCGAGAUGAGUUCUCCCUGAGACUUUAAGUCUCCUGAAGGAACGUUAAAGACGAUGACGUUGAUAGGUCGGGUGUGUAAGCGUAGCGAUACGUUGAGCUAACCGAUACUAAUGAACCGUGAGG